rnacentral:rRNA from 1 species
AAUGGGCGAAAGCCUGAUGCAGCAACGCCGCGUGAGUGAUGAAGGCCUUCGGGUUGUAAAGCUCUGUCUUUUGGGACGAUAAUGACGGUACCAAAGGAGGAAGCCACGGCUAACUACGUGCCAGCAGCCGCGGUAAUACGUAGGUGGCAAGCGUUGUCCGGAUUUACUGGGCGUAAAGGAUGCGUAGGCGGACUUUUAAGUGAGAUGUGAAAUUCCCGGGCUUAACUUGGGAGCUGCAUUUCAAACUGGAAGUCUAGAGUGCGGGAGAGGAAAGUGGAAUUCCUAGUGUAGCGGUGAAAUGCGUAGAGAUUAGGAAGAACACCAGUGGCGAAGGCGACUUUCUGGACCGUAACUGACGCUGAGGCAUGAAAGCGUGGGUAGCAAA